CCUUUCAGGGACCCCCCGCGCUCAGGCUGGCGACCCAGAUGGCCUCGAGUGAGAGAGAUGCUAUCUCGUGGUACCAGAAGAAGAUUGGAGCAUAUGAUCAGCAGAUAUGGGAAAAGUCAAUCGAACAGACUCAGAUUAAGGGCUUCAAAAACAAACCAAAAAAGAUGGGUCACAUAAAACCAGACUUGAUUGACGUUGACUUAAUCAGAGGCUCAACAUUUGCCAAAGCCAAACCUGAAAUUCCAUGGACAUCUCUGACUCGGAAGGGGCUCGUUCGAGUUGUGUUUUUCCCAUUGUUCAGCAACUGGUGGAUUCAGGUUACCUCUUUAAGAAUCUUCGUUUGGCUGCUACUGCUUUACCUCAUGCAAGUUAUAGCACUUGUGUUAUAUUUGAUGAUGCCUAUUGUGAAUGUAAGUGAAGUACUUGGACCCUUGUGCCUUAUGUUACUCAUGGGAACCGUCCACUGUCAAAUCGUGUCGACUCAGAUAGCAAGGCCAUCAGGAAGCAAUGGGAACCGGAGGAGAAGAAAAUUACGAAAAACUGUGAAUGGUGAUGGGAGCCGAGAAAAUGGAAGUAACUUCUCUGAUAAAGGCAGAGGAGUUGAAACUGUGGAACCUAUACCCUUGACUGGUGGCUUUUGGGAGACUCUCUUUGGCAACAGGGCUAAAACAGUAAGAUUAAUAUGUAACAAAGGGACUGAAACCAGCAAUGACACCAGUUACCUGCGUCCUAUCAUUAAGAAGAGACAGGGGCAACCAGAGAUUAAAAUAUGGCCAACGACAGAGAAAGCAAAGUUUUCAGAUGGCGAGAAGCGCCGUAGGGAGGCCUGCAGGCGUGUGUGUAGCGGGAUGUCAGAUGAUCUGUCAAGUGAAGAAGAUGCUGAUGCCCGGACACAGAUGAUGAUACUACGGCGGAGUGUGGAAGGGGCCUCCAGUGACAAUGGCUGUGAGGUCAAGAACAGGAAAUCAAUACUUCCAAGGCACAUAAACUCUCAGGUAACAAAAACCCCUGCCAAGUGGUGUCAUAUUAUGCGGGAUUCAGAUAGUCUGGCCGAAUCCGAAUUUGAAUCAGCAGUUUUCAGCCAGGGCUCCAGAUCCGGUGUGAGUGGUGGUGGCUCUCAAAGCAUCAAUAUGUCGAGAAGGGACUCAGAAAGCACCCGCCAUGACUCAGAGACUGAGGAUAUGUUGUGGGAUGAUCUGCUGCAUGGCCCAGAGUGCAGGUCGUCUGUCACCAGUGACAGUGAGGGGACCCAUGUGCACACCCUUCACUCAGGGACCAAACGUGACCCCAAAGAGGAUGUUUUUCAGCAGAACCACUUAUUCUGGCUUCAGAACUCAAGUCCUGCCUCUGAUCGAGUGAGUGCAAUCAUCUGGGAAGGAAAUGAGUGCAAGAAGAUGGAUAUGUCUGUGUUAGAAAUAAGCGGCAUCAUCAUGAGCAGGGUUAAUGCGUAUCAGCAAGGAGGAGGUUAUCAGAUGCUGGGCAAUGUUGUCACUGUUGGACUAGCGUUUUUCCCUUGUUUGCAUCGACUUUUCCGUGAGAAGAGCCUUGACCAGCUAAAGUCCAUUUCAGCCGAGGAGAUCCUGACUCUCUUUUGUGGGGCACCACCAGUUACCCCUAUUAUUAUUUUGUCCAUAAUUAAUUUUUUUGAACGAUUGUGUCUUACGUGGAUGUUUUUUUUCAUGAUGUGUGUGGCAGAGAGAACAUAUAAACAGAGAUUUUUAUUUGCAAAACUCUUCAGCCAUAUUACUUCUGCCAGGAAAGCUAGAAAAUAUGAAAUACCUCAUUUCAGACUUAAAAAGGUGGAGAACAUUAAGAUAUGGUUAUCACUGCGUUCCUUUCUAAAGAGACGGGGUCCGCAGCGUUCAGUUGACGUGGUUGUAUCCUCGGUCUUCUUACUGACGCUUUCGAUUGCUUUCAUUUGUUGUGCGCAGGUUCUCCAAGGACAUAAAACUUUCCUGAAUGAUGCUUAUAACUGGGAGUUUCUGAUCUGGGAAUCAGCUUUACUACUUUUCUUACUGCGCCUGGCCUCACUGGGGUCUGAAACCAAUAAGAAAUACAGCAACGUUUCAAUAUUACUUACUGAACAGAUUAACUUAUAUCUUAAGAUGGAAAAAAAGCCAACUAAGAAAGAACAGCUUACUCUAGUAAACAAUGUAUUAAAACUGUCCACCAAAUUGUUGAAAGAGCUGGACACACCAUUUCGACUCUAUGGACUGACAAUGAAUCCCUUAAUCUACAACAUCACACGAGUAGUAAUCCUUUCUGCUGUCUCGGGCGUUAUAAGUGAUCUUCUGGGAUUUAAUAUACGACUAUGGAAAAUUAAAUCCUAAGCUGAGCCAUGUGCCUGGACUCACUCCCCUUGCUGGCAUCGAUACCUCCCCAUGAAGGAAAGAGAUGACCGGAGAAACCACAUGUAGGAAAAUUCUCAAUUCCAGUGUGUCUCACAAAGUACAAGCUGACGGAUCUAUGUUUUUAGUUUUGGUUAACUGCAUUUAGAGGUAAGUAGACUUAUGCACUGCAAAAAUAACCUUUCAAAUUAAUGAAAUUCAGUUUUGAAAGUUUUUAGAUCUGCAUACUCAUAAUGGACCAAAUGGGCCUCACUUUCAAAUAUAAUGUAUGAUUUGGGAUUAUCAAGAAGAAAGUUUACUAAACAUAAUCUCCUCUAAACAGGUAUUGACUAGUUUAGUCUUUUAAAGUAAUCCUUUGCUCUUUGCAGUUACUGGUUCGCAUUUGAAUAGUGAAGUUUGAGUUUCACAAACGUGAAAUACCUCCCCUGCUCUCCUGCAGCACGUCCUGGGCCUGUCAGCUGUGAGAAGGAAUUACUCAAGUAGUGACAUCUGAGUCGUAAUUUUAAACUGGGACGUCAUCUGUCACUGUCAGAAGAGGCAACUUCCACCUUUACGGAUGAGUUAAGUCUUCUGCAGGGACUCAAAUAGUCCUCUCUGUAAACAUGCAACAUGCUAUCAAGGAUAUCGACUUCCAAGCCACCCUCGUUUUGUCUGCUGUGGAAGUGCCCGCGGGGAUAAACUCCACGUGAUACAGUAGAGAACUUGGCGAAGAUAUAAAGUGAGUUGUGACCACGUGGUUAGUAUCAGCGGACGUUGUCGGUUCGGACACCAUGAGGACGAGCGGGCGUGUCGGAUGAGCGCAGAGGGCGGCCAGCCAGGGGAUGGUGGCUCCUUAGCAGACCCGAAGGCCCUGCAUGCGGCCUAGGUAACUUGACGGCCAAAUCAAAACGUACGUACUUGUGUUUCAGGAUUUCUGAGAAAAUGACUUUUGGGGAAAACGCUGCUUUUUAUAGUAAAGAAAGAUUACAACUUG